GACGAACGCUGGCGGCGUGCUUAACACAUGCAAGUCGAGCGAUGAAGCACCUUCGGGUGUGAAUUAGCGGCGAACGGGUGAGGAACACGUGAGAAAUCUGCCUUCAACUCUGGGAUAACUCCGUGGAAACGGGGCUAAUACCGGAUAUGAAACCUGCGGGCAUCCGCGGGUUUGGAAAGUUUUUCGGUUGAAGAUGAUCUCGCGGCCUAUCAGCUUGUUGGUGAGGUAAUGGCUCACCAAGGCGACGACGGGUAGCCGGCCUGAGAGGGCGACCGGCCACACUGGGACUGAGACACGGCCCAGACUCCUACGGGAGGCAGCAGUGGGGAAUAUUGGGCAAUGGAGGAAACUCUGACCCAGCGACGCCGCGUGCGGGAUGAAGGCCUUCGGGUUGUAAACCGCUUUCAGCAGGGAAGAAGCGCAAGUGACGGUAGGUGCAGAAGAAGGACCGGCCAACUACGUGCCAGCCGCCGCAGUAA
rnacentral:rRNA from 1 species